rnacentral:lncRNA from 1 species
GAGAAUUAGAGUCCAUCUCUCAGGGGAAAAAGUCACAACAAAUGUGUGGCCAACUCUAAUCUACCAUAAGGAGCAAUGAACAAAGCAGAGUGAUUUAAGUAAAUUGUCAAUGUCCAAGAGCAGGAGCAACUGUCAGAGAAAGAGGAACAGGAUGAGUGUAGAGGGCUUUGAAGGAAUACCUAGGACCACGGGGGCUGCAGACACAAACCAUGCCUGAAGCCAGCUCGAGCCAUCUCCCACUGUUCUCACUGGGAAUGCUCCUAAUUACUUUCAUGUGGGAUAUAAUAUUUACUGAAGGAUAAAUAAUAAA